UAAAAUUUUUUGCCGAUUCAAAAACAAAUCUAACAGUUGAUGCAGACAAAGGUUCUGAUAA
rnacentral:antisense_RNA from 1 species